rnacentral:rRNA from 1 species
GUGUCUGUACCACAUGUACAGGAUAGGUAGGAGUCUAAGAGAUCGGGACGCCAGUUUCGAAGGAGACGCUGUUGGGAUACUACCCUUGUGUUAUGGCCACUCUAACCCAGAUAGGUGAUCCCUAUCGGAGACAGUGUCUGACGGGCAGUUUGACUGGGGCGGUCGCCUCCUAAAAGGUAACGGAGGCGCCCAAAGGUUCCCUCAGAAUGGUUGGAAAUCAUUCGCAGAGUGUAAAGGUAUAAGGGAGCUUGACUGCGAGAGCUACAACUCGAGCAGGGACGAAAGUCGGGCUUAGUGAUCCGGUGGUUCCGUAUGGAAGGGCCAUCGCUCAACGGAUAAAAGCUACCCUGGGGAUAACAGGCUUAUCUCCCCCAAGAGUUCACAUCGACGGGGAGGUUUGGCACCUCGAUGUCGGCUCGUCGCAUCCUGGGGCUGUAGUCGGUCCCAGGGGUUGGGCUGU